GAUGAACGCUGGCGGCGUGCCUAAUACAUGCAAGUCGAGCGAACAGACGAGGAGCUUGCUCCUCUGACGUUAGCGGCGGACGGGUGAGUAACACGUGGAUAACCUACCUAUAAGACUGGGAUAACUUCGGGAAACCGGAGCUAAUCCCGGAUAAUAUAUUGAACCACGUGGUUGAAUAGUGAGAGUCGGUUGUGGUGUCACUUCUAGAUGGAUUCGCGCCGCAUUGGCUGGUUGGUAAUGUAAUGGGUUACUAAGGGUACGAUGCGUGGCCGACCGGAUAGAGGGGUCGGCGACCCUGGAACGGAGACGCGGUCCAGAGGCCUACGGGAGGCCGCAGUAGCGAAUCUUCCGCAGAGGGCGAAAGCCUUGCGGAGCAACGCCGCGUGAGUUACGAAGGUCUUCGGAUCGUAAAACUCUGUUAUUAGGGAAGAACAAAUGUGUAAGGAACUAUGCACGUCUUGACGGUACCGAAUCAGAAAGCCACGGCUAACUACGUG
rnacentral:rRNA from 1 species